CCUAGGGAGGCAGCAGUGGGGGAUAUUGCACAACGGGGGGAACCCUGAUGCAGCGACGCCGCGUGGGUGAAGGAGCGUUUCGGCGCGUAAAGCCCUAUCGGCAGGGAAGAAGGAGGACGGUACCUGACUAAGAAGCCCCGGCUAACUACGUGCCAGCAGCCGCGGUAAUACGUAGGGGGCAAGCGUUAUCCGGAUUUACUGGGUGUAAAGGGGGCGCAGACGGCAGCGCAAGCCAGGAGUGAAAGCCCGGGGCCCAACCCCGGGACUGCUCUUGGAACUGCGCGGCUGGAGUGCAGGAGGGGCAGGCGGAAUUCCUGGUGUAGCGGUGAAAUGCGUAGAUAUCACGCAGAACCCCGAUUGCGAAGGCAGCCUUCCGGCGCCCUACUGACGCUGAGGCACGAAAGUGCGGGGAUCGAACAGGAUUAGAUACCCCAGUAGUC
rnacentral:rRNA from 1 species